GAUGAACGCUGGCGGCGUGCCUAACACAUGCAAGUCGAGCGAGAAGCUUAUGAAGGAUCCUUCGGGUGACUGAUUAAGUGGAAAGCGGCGGACGGGUGAGUAACGCGUGGGUAACCUGCCCCAUACAAAGGGAUAGCCACUGGAAACGGUGAUUAAUACCAUAUGAGAUCGUAGAGUCGCAUGACUUAGCGGUUAAAGAUUUAUCGGUAUGGGAUGGACCCGCGUCUGAUUAGCUAGUUGGUAAGGUAACGGCUUACCAAGGCGACGAUCAGUAGCCGACCUGAGAGGGUGAUCGGCCACACUGGAACUGAGACACGGUCCAGACUCCUACGGGAGGCAGCAGUGGGGAAUAUUGCACAAUGGGCGCAAGCCUGAUGCAGCAACGCCGCGUGAGCGAUGAAGGCCUUUCGGGUCGUAAAAGCUCUGUCCUCAAGGAGAAAAAUGACGGUACUUGAGGAGGAAGCCCCGGCUAAC
rnacentral:rRNA from 1 species